UGGGGAAUAUUGCGCAAUGGGGGGAACCCUGACGCAGCCAUGCCGCGUGAAUGAAGAAGGCCUUAGGGUUGUAAAGUUCUUUCGGUAUUGAGGAAGGUUGAUGUGUUAAUAGCACAUCAAAUUGACGUUAAAUACAGAAGAAGCACCGGCUANCUCCGUGCCAGCAGCCGCGGUAAUACGGAGGGUGCGAGCGUUAAUCGGAAUAACUGGGCGUAAAGGGCACGCAGGCGGUUAUUUAAGUGAGGUGUGAAAGCCCCGGGCUUAACCUGGGAAUUGCAUUUCAGACUGGGUAACUAGAGUACUUUAGGGAGGGGUAGAAUUCCACGUGUAGCGGUGAAAUGCGUAGAGAUGUGGAGGAAUACCGAAGGCGAAGGCAGCCCCUUGGGAAUGUACUGACGCUCAUGUGCGAAAGCGUGGGGAGCAAACAGGAUUAGAUACCCUGGUAGUCCACGCUGUAAACGCUGUCGAUUUGGGGGUUGGGGUUUAACUCUGGCGCCCGUAGCUAACGUGAUAAAUCGACCGCCUGGGGAGUACGGCCGCAAGGUUA
rnacentral:rRNA from 1 species